AUGGUACCACCCAUACACACAAAUGAUCUAUUUACAUUAAAAUUUAAAUGUAUACACUGUUUAGUAAGGUUCUUUUCUCCCCCUGUAUCUAGGUGUUUUUUUAUUUGUUCUUCUGUGUUCUUUUUCCUUUGUAUUGUUUUGUUUUGUUGUGCCUUCGGCCUUUUGCAGCUUCAAGCGGAGGUUUGGGUUGUGACUGAUUCUGUCUCCAGCAGAUUAGAGGCGGAGGGGGUGGAGGAAGGGCUGGCGCUCUGUCUGUAGGAUCCUCACUUCUUCCCUCCCCAACAGCCCUUUAUCUUAAAACAAAUUUGAAAGAUUGGCACCUGAGCUAACAUCUGUUGCCAAUCUUCUUUGCGUUUUUGUUUUUCCUUCUUCUCCCCGAAGUCCCCCCAGUAUGUAGUCGCCCAUCUUAGCUGUGAACACCUCUGGUUGUGCUGGGUGGGACGCUGCCUCAGCAUGGCCUGAUGAGCCUUUCCCGUGGCCACGCCCAGGAUCCAAGCCAGAGAAACCCAGGGCCACCAAAGCAGAGCUCGCGAGAACUUCACCACUCAGUCACCAGGCCUGCCCCCAGCUGCUUUUUUUUUCUUAAACCAAAUGUUUUAGAAGAGCGUAUGCCCCUGGGAAGCUAACUUUUAUUUCUUCCUUUUGGUUUAUAAGCAUCAAGAGUACAGAAAGUAAGAAAAUGUAGCUAAUGUAAAUGACCCUGUGACAAAGGGAAACCACCGGACAAAUACAGAAUCGAGGAGGACACAGCAGAGCCUGACUGUCUUUGAGAGCAGUAAUGGAGACACGGGUGUGACUCACGUCCUGCUCCACACACAAAGGAAGUGCUCCCGGCCAAUGAAUCUGUGCCACGUGCCCAGCACUAAAAGAAGGGAGGUCCCUGGGCCCAGCAGGAGUGGACUGACUCUCACAGGGACACUCAGAUGAACGGUUCAGUCACUAGUCAGAUUAACUGAGUGUUAAUCCAGGCCCCUUGUGCACCUGGAGAGCAGGGCCUGGGGAGAAAACCUCUCCGUCCAUGGGCUGCAGGAGAUGCUGGGGCUUAGAGAGACGCAAGCUGCAGAGAUUCCAGGGGAAAGGAAAGAUCCUUUUCAGCAGUGCAGGGAGGGCCAGUUCAGCAUGGAGCAGGAGGAGAGCGCUGCCCAGGGCUUGGUGUGACUUUCAAAUAUCACAUUAAGAAAUCUCAUCCUUUACUGUGAAUCCAGACAGCAUUGUUGGCUUUCCACACUCAGAGAGUCUCAGAGUGCCAUCUGUCUGUUUGGGUGCUAACGUGGUGGGUUUUCUGAGGGGCAGCUGCUCUGGAUCCAUUUCCUGGCAUCCCUCACCUCUUGGACCUGGGGAUUAUGUGAGGAAAUUAGUCAAGGGGAUUCUUUCCUGGUUCCUGGAAAGUCUUUUCCCCCUUUUUGGCUUAAUCAUUGGUCCUUAUCAUCGGCAACUCUCAUUCACCUUCCUCUUCUCCUGCUGAAUAUGUUCUUCACCAGGAUGGCAUCAAUUCAGUGCAAUAUCUUCAGAAAAAGGCACAUUUUUUCCUAAAGACAAUUGGGAAUUUUAAUGGCCGCUCUAAGCAACUUGGGAACUUCCAAGAUCUCUCUUCCCUUCACUCCCUGUCAUGGAAUGAAUGUUUGCGUUCCCCCAAAAUUUGUAUGUUGAAAUUCUAAUCAACAACGUGAUGGUAUUAGGAGGUGGAGACUCUGAGAGGUGAUACGUGAUAUCAGUGGAGCCCUUGUGAACAUUAGUGCCCUUAUAAAGAGACCCCAGACAUCUCUCUCACUGUUUCCUCCAUGUGUGUCCUCUUGGACUAGGAAGAAUAUUCUCACCAGACAUUGAAUCAUCCAGUGCCUUUAUCUUGGACUUCCCAGUCUCCAGAGCUAUGACAAGUAAAUUUUGUUGUUUAAGCCACCACAGUCCAUGGUAUUUUAUUACAGCAGCCUAAAUGGACUGAGGCACUCCCUGUUCCUCCUUCCUCCUUUUUUAUACCUUGGGCCUUCCUGUCAGCUUCCUUAGAUCCUUUAAUCUGUUCUCCUUCAACACCUGUCCCUCCUCCACUCCCCUCUCCCUCUAUCCAUCCCUCCCAAUCCUUUCCCUUCCUACUCCUACCCAUCAAUGCAUUGUGGUCACUGGCACUUCAGGCCUCCUUCCCUAAAGUGGGCUCUCAAGGGACUAAAGGACCCCAAGAGCUGACCUGAAGCUAAACAGCUCAUUGGAAACAGGCUGGAUGUUUUAUCCACUUAAAUGUGCUUUGGGGACACCCAGAUGGCCGCAGGUCUCUCCCAGGACCCUAGCCUGAAAUUUCAUCACUGCAAAGGGUAUGUGAAAGGGCCUCCUGCUCAAAUAUUGGUGGGAACCCUUCAGAUAUCAUACUAUGCAGGUGACUUCAACUUGCCCCAUCUGCCAGAAACACAGUCCUGGUAAGAGUGUCCAUACGGACCAAGGAGAGGCACCCCUCUUUCUUACAAACCAGUAGUUGAAGUUUUAGAAUUGAAGGCAAAGGCUCUCUCUUCUUGUCUAUCUGCGUGUUUAUGAAGGUAUGUAUAUAUAAUAUUUUCCCACCUUCAAGUGGUGUUACUAAGUUAGAUUAUAAAAUCCCUUGUGGGCUGGCCCUGUAGCUGAGUGGUUAAAUUCACGUGCUCCGCUUUGGCAACCUGAGGUUCAUCAUUUCAGAUGCUAGUCAUGGACGUAUGCACUGUUCGUCAAGCCAUUCUGUGGUGGCAUCCCACAUAGAAGAACUAGAAUGACUCACAACUAGGAUGUACAACUAUGUACUGGGCCCAUGUAUUGGGGAGAAAAAAAAAUAAACACCCUUCAGGGAGGUCUAGUUGAGGGCUC
rnacentral:lncRNA from 1 species